AUUGAACGCUGGCGGCAAGCCUAACACAUGCAAGUCGAACGAGUGGCGGACGGGUGAGUAAUGUCUGGGAAACUGCCUGAUGGAGGGGGAUAACUACUGGAAACGGUAGCUAAUACCGCAUACCAUCGGAUGUGCCCAGAUGGGAUUAGCUAGUAGGUGGGGGAAAGGCUCACCUAGGCGACGAUCCAGAGCUGGUCUGAGAGGAUGACCAGCCGCACUGGAACUGAGACACGGUCAAGACUCCUACGGGCGGCCGCAGGGGGGAAGAGUGCAGAAUGGGCGCAAGCCUGAUGCAGCGCUGCCGCGUGUAUGAAGAAGGCCUUCGGGUUGUAAAGUACUUUCAGCGGGGAGGCGUUACCCGCAGAAGAAGCACCGGCUAACUCCGUGCCAGCAGCCGCGGUAAUUC
rnacentral:rRNA from 1 species